AUUGAACGCUGGCGGCAGGCUUAACACAUGCAAGUCGAGCGGGGUGAUGGUGCUUGCACUAUCACUUAGCGGCGGACGGGUGAGUAAUGCUUAGGAAUCUGCCUAUUAGUGGGGGACAACAUCUCGAAAGGGAUGCUAAUACCGCAUACGUCCUACGGGAGAAAGCAGGGGAUCACUUGUGACCUUGCGCUAAUAGAUGAGCCUAAGUCGGAUUAGCUAGUUGGUGGGGUAAAAGCCUACCAAGGCGACGAUCUGUAGCGGGUCUGAGAGGAUGAUCCGCCACACUGGGACUGGGACACGGCCCAGACUCCUACGGGAGGCAGCAGUGGGGAAUAUUGGACAAUGGGGGGAACCCUGAUCCAGCCAUGCCGCGUGUGUGAAGAAGGCCUUAUGGUUGUAAAGCACUUUAAGCGAGGAGGAGGCUCUUUUGGUUAAUACCCAAGAUGAGUGGACGUUACUCGCAGAAUGAGCACCGGCUAACUCUGUGCCAGCCGCCGCAGUAA
rnacentral:rRNA from 1 species